rnacentral:rRNA from 1 species
UACGGGGGGGGCAAGCGUUGUUCGGAAUUACUGGGCGUAAAGCGCGCGUAGGCGGCUUUGUAAGUUAGAGGUGAAAGCCCGGAGCUCAACUCCGGAACUGCCUUUAAGACUGCAUCGCUUGAAUCCGGGAGAGGUGAGUGGAAUUCCGAGUGUAGAGGUGAAAUUCGUAGAUAUUCGGAAGAACACCAGUGGCGAAGGCGGCUCACUGGACCGGCAUUGACGCUGAUGUGCGAAAGCGUGGGGAGCAAACAGG